CCUACGGGUGGCUGCAGUGGGGAAUAUUGGACAAUGGGCGAAAGCCUGAUCCAGCCAUGCCGCGUGUGUGAAGAAGGCCUUCGGGUUGUAAAGCACUUUCAGUGGGGAAGAAAGCCUUGGGGCUAAUACCCUCGAGGAAGGACAUCACCCACAGAAGAAGCACCGGCUAACUCCGUGCCAGCAGCCGCGGUAAUACGGAGGGUGCGAGCGUUAAUCGGAAUUACUGGGCGUAAAGCGCGCGUAGGCGGUCUGAUAAGCCGGUUGUGAAAGCCCCGGGCUCAACCUGGGAACGGCAUCCGGACCUGUCAGGCUAGAGUGCAGGAGAGGAAGGUAGAAUUCCCGGUGUAGCGGUGAAAUGCGUAGAGAUCGGGAGGAAUACCAGUGGCGAAGGCGGCCUUCUGGACUGACACUGACGCUGAGGUGCGAAAGCGUGGGUAGCAAACAGGAUUAGAUUACCCUGGUAGUC
rnacentral:rRNA from 1 species